rnacentral:rRNA from 1 species
UGCNUUAGUAGCGGCGAGUGAAGCGGCAAAAGCUCAAAUUUGAAAUCUGGCUCUUUCAGAGUCCGAGUUGUAAUUUGAAGAAGGUAUCUUUGGGUCUGGCUCUUGUCUAUGUUUCUUGGAACAGAACGUCACAGAGGGUGAGAAUCCCGUGCGAUGAGAUGAUCCAGGCCUAUGUAAAGUUCCUUCGAAGAGUCGAGUUGUUUGGGAAUGCAGCUCUAAGUGGGUGGUAAAUUCCAUCUAAAGCUAAAUAUUGGCGAGAGACCGAUAGCGAACAAGUACAGUGAUGGAAAGAUGAAAAGAACUUUGAAAAGAGAGUGAAAAAGUACGUGAAAUUGUUGAAAGGGAAGGGCUUGAGAUCAGACUUGGUAUUUUGUAUGUUACUUCUUCGGGGGUGGCCUCUACAGUUUAUCGGGCCAGCAUCAGUUUGGGCGGUAGGAGAAUUGCGUUGGAAUGUGGCACGGCUUCGGUUGUGUGUUAUAGCCUUCGUCGAUACUGCCAGCCUAGACUGAGGACUGCGGUUUAUACCUAGGAUGUUGGCAUAAUGAUCUUAAGUCGCCCGUCUUGAC